GACUGCAACCUAAAGUGAUUGUAGGUGGAGAAGUAGUGUGUCUAAGAAAAGGUGUGUUUGGUGUUUUCAAUGAAGUUUGUGCGAGUGAACAGUCUGAUUUUGGUGAUUGAUUUGUGUAUGUCAGAUUUUGAAAUACCAUGGACUUGUACAGCACAUUGGCAAUGUGUGUUCACCUCUCCAACUUUCAGCUAGUAUGCUCAAAGUAUUUUCUUUAUUAAAAUUAUUUGACACUUUUUGAUCUUUUAAUAGAUUUGUCAUCAAGUAAGAAUACUUUUGGAACUUUUAAUUUACUUUUUAUUUAUAUGAAGUAUAUAUAUUAUGUAAGUUAAAAAGUUUUGCCUCUUUUUUAGCAGGAGCUGUCAAAGUUAGCAAAACAAGCAAGAGGGAAUUUUCUAGAAGCAGGUAAAAUUUUGUUGCUGAGUUUUAAAAGAAAAGACAUGCAAGACAAUGCUCUGCAAGAUGACAAAGAAAUGGCAAAUAGCAAAACCUAACAUAUUUCAUUAGCUUACAGGAAUGGGAUUUUUAAAAACUGGGACUUUUCCUGUCUUACGUCUUCGCUAAGAAAGUUAUUUAUUUGUACUGCAUUCUCUUGUAGCAUGUUUAACUCACUGCAUGAUGGAAUAUUGGUGAUACAUAGUGCAAAUUCUGAUACGUAUGAAAUAGGUAAGAAUUAGUCUGAACUAGAAAAGAUGCAGAAUCAAUACUAUUCACUUGUUUUGGCUUCCCUUCUGAUCAUUUUUCUGCUGCAUGAUUUUGUCCCUAUAGAUUAUUUUGUGAAAAUAUUUUUGAAUCAGUCUCUGUAGUAAUAAAAUAACAGCAAGGCAUCAGAGACACACAGUGAUCAGAAGAAAGUAAUGGGAUUUAUUUACUUGAAGUAAAAACCCUUUUUUUCCGAUUAGGAUAUUAUUGAAGAUAAAAGUCAUUGGAAAAAACUUAUUUUUCACAGUAGUGGAGGUUUACUGUUCUUGCCAAAGCAUUCACUAGUUUUUGAUGUCUAGAGCCAGUCUUUGAGAUUAAAAAUUUAGGCUCAUUUCCUGGAGCCUUGGCCAAUGGAGGCGACAGUUAAUGUAAGAGCUGUGCAACUGCUCCUGUAUGUAGACAAGAUGAGAGCAAAGCUCAUCUCAUGUUCAUACUGGGGCUAACUGAAAUUACUGGCCUGUAAGAGAGAAAAAUGUGUUCUUUGGAGUGGCAAAAGGCAUGGCCAUUAAGACUUCCAUUUGGGAUCUGGGAAACUUCAGUGACUCCCUGGUUUUAAUCUGCAUUUAAGCCGCAUUUUUUGUUCAGACCAGGAAGUUAAAUUAGGUCCUCUCACGACCUACAGAACUUCCUCAUGCAAGAGUGAUUCCUUUCUGUUGGGUAGCUCUGGAAGGCAUCAAGGAGAUGAAACGAGCGAAGCUCUGGUGAAUAUUUAAUCCCUUGCAUGGGUCUGCUCUCUAAGGACAGACUGAGAGUAGUGCCCUGCUGCAGGCCUGUGGUGCUCAGUUUGGGAUACUAGCCUGCUAAGAAAAAUUUUCAGACCUCCUAAGUACCCUCAACAUCAGACUACAGAAUAGUAGGACACAGCUCACUUGCUUGCUCUUAAUACUCUCGUUCAAAGCACAUUCCGUUUUCUGUUGUGGGAAAAGGAGAUAAUAAAAACAAGUGGUUUUGUGACAUGGGAAAGGGCUUUCUUCCCAUCUCUACUUUUGAGUGGAUCAAUGGAGUUUCUGUCCUAAUGGAAGAUCUUGUUCCACGAUUUAUGAUGCUAUCUGGUUCCUGAACCAAAGAUAAUUACCUGCCUUUUCAGGUCCAGAAAUAGAUUUUUAAAAUGGGAAAAGUGGCUUUAUUUCAGGUUUUUCCCUUUGGUCACUGCAUGUGUGACUACUUUCUCUUCAUUUCUAAACACGCUAUUCUUAACAAUAUAGAUUUGAUCUAUCCAGUCUUGACAAUAGAGAGUUGUUUUCUUUAUGUAUGUAGCUGACAGAGAUUCCAAGUCAGGGACCCAAUUAGAAAUAAUUAGUCUUGAAGGGUAAAAUGGAAUUUUUAAAUGUGCAUGAUAAAAGAAGUUGCAUUUCAUUUCUGUUUACAUUGAAAUAAUAAUUUCUAGCAUUGUGUCCUAGAGAUAAUUCUGCAUAGGCCACAACAUCAAUUUAAUUAGAAAGCUCCUGUGUUAUAGAAAGGCCUUCCACACAGAGUAGUUUCUGUAUUUGUCAGAUAAGCAGUAUACAUCAUGGACUAAGGAUCUAAUUAAGAUUUCAAGACACUGAAAGGUAAGCACUUUAAUAAUACUAAAAUAAUUUUAAUUUUCAUAUACAGAAAAAUGGAAGAAUACUAAUAUAUCUAUUUAAUUUUCAGUUUAGUUUUGAUUUCACCUUGAAGUACUAGAAACUUCUCAAAGAGCCUAUUUGAGCCAAAAUUGUAACUGCUUCAUUGAAGGGUGAAGGAGGAGAAUAGGGAACAAGAAAAAUUAACAGCAGUAUCAAUGUCUGCAUUUCACAAAACCAACCCCAGCACAUCAACGGAGAGACUGGAGUUGUCCAAGAAAUAAGGAGGUAUUGGAAUUCUCCAGUAUGGAGGAUAUGGAUAUGUGGUCCUUAUUUAAAUGAAGAACUAAAGCACAGACAUUAUUCAUGCUAAUACAACCCUCACAUCAACGUCUGCACACAGAAAUAUCUGUUAUUAAGCUGUUCAGGUCAUUAAACUGGAUGUAAGGCUGUGCAGAAAGAAUGCAUGAACAAAGUAUCAUUCAUCAGUAUGCUACAGUAAGUAUCUGCCAGCUUCCUUCUGGCACUUUUACUCUGUUUCCUUCUUAAAGGAAAUGAGAUCAUUUGAGGUAGGCUUGUCUUUGAUGAAAGAGGUGUAAACUAACUUAUAUUUUCCAAAGUGUUAUUGUUUAAGAGCUUGCCAGAAGAGCUUUUUGCUGCUAAAUUUUUUAUAGCCAAUACUAAAAAAUUGAAUACUAAGAAAUAGUCUUAAGAAUUAAAUAAAUGUUUAUUAAGAAACUUUUUGGAUAAUUGAAAGCUAUAUAACUGUUUGGAAGCUGAUUUUAAUUGCCAACUUCAACCUCUCUGAGGACAAUUUAACAGAUGGCAACUUAUUAAACCAGUCCCUUAGUUUCUAUGGGAAACUUGAUAUCAAUUUUUAUUCUGAUAGAUGAGAAGAAUUAACUGGCAAUUUAAAAAUGGGCAAUUAUUAUGGCUGUGAUCUGAUUGAAGUAGGUAUGUUUGAGCAGACCAUGACUCCAGGCAGUAGUGUGUUUAUUUGGACUAUUAAAAGGCCCUGUUUGCUAACCUUAAAGCAGUUAACUAAAAUAUAGCACAACUGUAACCAAAUUGCAGUGAAAUGCAACAUGACGCAAAACAGAAUCAGUCUUGCUUCAGAAGUGAUGGUCAUGAAGGACCUGAUAAAGGAGAUGAGCAAAGAACGACACAAUUCUGUGGUAAGUUAUUCAAGGUAGGGCAAGAAUAGAAUGUGAGUGACAACAACAACAACAAAUUAAGAUAAGUGAAAACAUGAUUGUAAGUUCAGAUAAAUAUGUGUGUAUAACUUAUAUCUAUAAAAUAAUGACCUCUGCACUGACCUUUACCUCUCAUAAGCUACUUCUCUGAAGACAAAAUCUCAGUGCUUGGUAACAGUCAAAAAACCAUAUACAUUAGGAAUAAAUGGGAAAACAAUGGAAAAUGAAAUAAAAGAGACUUUGAAUAUACAUCUGUGGCAGUCCCUUUUUCACACAAACUUUGAAUAAUAUUUUUGGUUGUGGUAUGUUCAAAAGGAAAAAAUGUUCUGGAAAAUCACCAAGGAUGAUUAAAUUCAAUUGGAGGAAUGAAUGAGUUCUGGUGCAGGAGUCUUCAGCCUAGACAACAGGGGUUUAAGAAUUCAGAAAGAUGUUGUAGAAAGCUCUACACAAUUAUCAUCGGGAGUUUAAGUCAGGGAGUGACUGCUUUCACUGUCUUCCCAUGCAAGAACUAGGAAGUAACAAGUGAAGCUCAUCAGAAGGCAAACAAACCAAGCAAGAAGAGAUGCUUCUUUGUGGAAAGUAUUAAAUGACGUAUUUUUGUGCUACAAGUCUUAUAUGAGUAAAAAAAAGUCAAGAUUACAUCAAGGAUAAGGUAAGCCCUGAGAAAAAAUUGUGCUGCAGAAUGAGAAAAACCCACACCAGGUUCAGGAAGUACACCAGACUGAAAACAAUUGGAGUAAAGGAAUGUGUUUGUAGGGGAAAUACCACAUAUAUUUACCUUGUCCAUACUGCUUCCAGCUAGUGCUUGUGGCCAUUCUUGGAUAAAGAACACUAGGCCAGAUGGACCUUUGGUCUAAGCCAGUACUAGAGACUCUUAAAUUCUAUCUUUAUAUAGAAGCAGUGAUGAAACAUUUAUAUAAAAUAUUUCAUAAAAAUAUAAAAUUUAGAACAUUUAUAUAAUAGAUGGAAAGAAAUUUAUGCUGAAUAUAAGUUACUAGCUAAAUACAAAGGAUACAAAAAGGUGGAAAAAGUCCAUUAUAAAUGGCCGACAGAGUUAAAAAUAAUAAAGCCUUUAAAAUAAAGGAUCAUUUUAAAAUGCAGGUUUUAGCUAUAACCAAGGUAACUUCUGCCAGCAUUCUUAUUACAGGUCAAUGGAAUGUGGUUUCCAAUCUAAUCCUUUCCAAUUUUUUGAAGUGUUUUUACAUGUUGAAUUUGUAUAUGAAAUAAGUAAGCUCUUGUUUCACAUUUGAGAUUUAGACUGUCUAAAGUUACAACAACAUAUAAAAAGUUACAGUAUUUUUGGAAAGAAGCAGAAAGAUGUGUCCGUCCCACUUCCUUGAAAUAUCUGAAGCUGGACCACAGUACUGUUUAAGGAGGGUUUGUGGUCAGUGAGGUAUAUGGCAGAUAGCUAACUGGCAGAUUUCAAUUGCUAACUAGCUGUUAUCAAAGGGGAAUCUCAAAUGAGAAUGCUUUUAGCAGUUUUCCCAGUGGCUAGUCCUUGGUUAAAGACUUGAACAAAUUUUGUAGGUGUUCUAGUGGAAAAGAUAUUUGCUGGGAAAUUAUAGAUACAAAGUUAAUCCCAGAGGUAAAAUGAAACAUGGUGAUCUUUCAACAAAUACCCUUGGAGUGAUUUCAGAUUUCGGGUUAAAUGGUCAAAGUCUGAAAGUACUUAUUUUUAAUAGUCAGAUGUAAACAAAUCAGCUUGUGAGCCUGAAAGUCAAAUGAUACUUAUCACAGGAUGAGAGCUGGAUUUAAAAGCCAGAGAAAUGUAGGAGUCAUUCUAGUUGUUUCUGUCAGUGUAGCACUGGGGCAGAUAAGGUGAUGUCCUCGGAGGUUCUGUGAGGACACCACUGGGUGGAAGGAGGACGAUACUCUCGGCAGAGGCUGUACAGAAUCAGGGCUGAUACCGGAGUAUGGUGUCCCCAUGGUAAGGUGGAUUUGAAACAGAUGAGUAGAGUUCAAGGGAGGCCAACAGAAAUGAUCCUGGGGAUUGUAAAAUGAUGUUAAGCUGUUGGGGUGACAGCUAUUCAUUCAUAUGUGAGAAAGAAAUUGUUUUAGUAUUGCAUAGAGAUAUUGCACAAGGAAGAGAUAUCAGUAAAGCUGGGACGUGACAGCAGUCCUGACAGAGAUAAGACAAGGUCUCCAGGCUGUGGACUUAAUUAAACUGCAUCUUCCUAAAGGUAGUUGAAUGCAGUAAUAUUUUUAUUUAGAGGAGACAUGGCCUGGAUCAACGCUUUUAGCUGCUAUAGAGAACACUUUUAAAAUAUCCUGCUCCUUUCAGCAUCAGACUAAUUGGGUGUGGGACCUAGAGGUGUUUCCCAGAAAUAUUUGAAAGGACUUGAGACCUUUUCACCUUCUUUGCAGUAUGGCUGUAUCUUACUCUGUGCCAGACUUCUUACUAUCCUGAGACUGAAAUUUUUUAAUGUACUUGAAUUCAAUGAAGGGCUUUGGAGUACAAAAUGCCAUCUUAUGCUAUGCAGAGAGAUGCAAGGAAGCUGCAGACAAAGUGAAUAUUUUUAUGAAAAAGAGAGACUUACAACUGCUGAAGGUGAGAAUACCAUCAUCAUGGUAUUCAGUUUCAUUUCUACAGUGAUUUUGUUGGAUUUUCUUGACAUCUUUCAAAGUUUUUACAUAUGUCUUCUCUGUGUGUGCUCAUGAAGGCUUGCACACAGGGAGUCAAACUUCCUUCUCUCUCCUUAUUAUCACUCUUUCUAACUCUAGUUCAUGACUCACUACUGUGUAGCCACUCCCUCCCUGGAGUCCUCACUGGUGGAAUAGGAAGGAAAAUCAGAAUCAGGAAUAAAGUAAAACUGAAGGGUUGAGAUAAGAACAGUUUAGUACUUAAAACAGAGUAAAUAAUAAAUCAAACACAGAUAAUAAUAAUAGCAGCAGCAGCAACAACAAAAAAAACCAGCAACAACACAACAACAGCAAUAAUAAUCAAAAGGAAAUUAAUAGAGAAAAAUAAAUGCUAAAAAGAAUGAGUGAUGCUCAAUAUAUAGUUGCUUACCACCUGCUGACUGAUACCCAGCUGAUCAGCAAUCACUCCCUCCCAGCCAAUUUCUCUCAAUUUAUACACUGAACAAGAUGUUCUAUGGUGUAGAAUAUCCCUUUGGCCAUUUUGGGUCAGCUGUCCCAGCUGUCCCUGCUUCAUUCCCUCCCAGGUUUUUGUCUCCUUCUUGCUGCCAGGGCAUGAGACACUGAAAAAUCCUUGACUUAGGGUGGUACUACUUAGCAAGAACCAAAACAUCUGUGUGUUGGCAACAUUAUUCUCACACUGAAUCUAAAACACAGCACUGUACCAGCUACUAAGAAGAAAAUGAAUGCUGUCCCAGCUGAAACCAGGACAUGAUCCUUUUGUAAAUAGGAAGGAUUGUAAUUGUUUUCUUAGAGCAUCUUGUCUUAAAGCUGUCCAGCAUACUCUUGCCUUUGCCUAUGCUUCAUUGGUUUGUAAUCUCUACUGACUGCAGGAUCAGAGAGAACAGGAGACAUAGAUGCUAUUUAUAAGGUCUUCCUACAUCUGCUGCAGUUGGACUUCCAGCACAUAAAGGAUUGUCAGUGUAGAAGUUAAGUGACAUAUGAAGGGUUUGCACAGGACAGUACUGUCUGUGAUGUCCAACUACUGUUUCUUUUGACAUUCUCAAAUAACCCAAUAGAAAUGGAGCAACUGCAGAAUCUGAUAAAAAAGCUAAACUACUGUUCAGAAUAAUCACUGUUUCUGGCCUUACUGUCGUUGGUAAAUCUAUAUUUUUGCCCUUAGAUCAAUUUCCUUUUUGACUUUGUGAUUGACUUGUAACAUGCUCACAGACAUUGUGUUUGCACACUGAACAACUGAGCUGGAAUUUGAUUGCUUUGUAUUACAAAUUAGAAAAUUACUAUUUUUUUAUUAAACAGCAUUCAUGGAAUGAAUGCAUUUGAUUAUUGCAGAACUACUUUGAGAAUAUAUAAAUACCUGAAAUUCAUUAUUGUUUCUUUAGGUCCUGGGUAAUCUUCCUUUGUCCUGAGAUUGUUCCCUUAUUACAGGUAUGACUCCGUAGAUAAAUGAAUAUUGCCUUUCUGUUCAUCUUCUCUAAGAUAAAUAAUAAACAAAGCAAAGAAAUGGCAAAUAAACAGAUUUAAAUAAUCUUAAUAUUUCUAUGACAUAUUCUUAUAUAGUUUUUAUUAUUUUAUCUUUCUUAUAUAAGGACGCAGGCACAUUACUGUGAAGCAAGUCUUUCUUUUCCCAUUCACUGUUACUUCUGCUUUUUAAUACACUUUUUAGUAUUUCAGCAUUUAAAUUCGAAGAGCUAUCCAUUUUUCUCAACAAACAAGUAGGAAACCUAACAAUAUGAUGCUUGAAUGUGAGCUUGGAUAGAACUACUUCAGUAGAGAAAAUAGUAAAAUGAGACACAGGGUGGGUAUCAGCUGCUUAUGCAGGGACCAGAAGAGUUCCACAUUCCUUACAGGUGUGAACCUAUAGAUGUCAUUGUUUGUCUAUUAGUAUUAAUAUUCCUCUGCAGAAGCAGCAGUUUCAGUUCUGGUGGAUAAAUUUCAAAAGCUGAACAAAGCAGAGAAGGUUUGGAGAAAUGGUAAAGGCUUGAUCUAAGGCAAUAUUUUAGUCCUUAGGCUAAUAGUUUUUUUUUUUGUUUGGUUUUUUUUUUUUUUGUUGUUGUUGAAUAAAAUAUUGAAAGGAUUUCAUGGUUUUGAAAGAUCUUGUGAAGAGAGGAUGUUUGUUUGGAGAAAGAAACUGUGUGUUGAAGAAAGCAAAACUAAGAUCUACUGUCUGGAAGAGGAACUUAUGUUUGAAGAGCAAAGAUAAUUAGCCAUGAUUAAACAUAGAUGAUUGACUAACCAUGAGGAUUGUCAGAAAAUGUUCAUAUUCAUAUUAACUUAUAAGGUUAAGUAAUGGUUAUAUUUCUAUUGGCAAAAUUUUAUAUUUUGCAGCAAUUUGUGGAUUCAUGGUAAGAAAACUGGUCAACAUGUUACGGAGCAGGUAGAUUUGAGACAGACUUAUCUACACUUCCCAGGAGUUAUGGGUGGCAAAGAACAAAAUUUAUAGAAGUGGAACAUUUACUGUUCUUCAGGGUUGAUUAUGUAUACAGGAUUGAUGGCUGACCAUAAGGAUGCAUUUCAGGCUGUGAUGUGACUUUUGUCUGGGGGUGAUCUUACAUUAUGUUUCUGUUUAAAGACAUGCUACUGCUGUCUGCUGUGACAGUGCCAGGGAUGUUCCUACCCUUCUGUGCUGAAGUUAACACUUAUGAGUUGUGUGGGAAGACGAGGAGAGGACAGGAUUCUCUCUUAAGUGACAAUGAAGUUCUGAAUAAUUGGUUGAAGAGAAUUGUGAAUCUUGACUCAUAUGUUUAAUGUCUAUGAGGAGGUAAGAAGUUAAUGGAGGUGGGUCGUAAAAGUACUUCUUAUAGUGCUGGAAGUUAUUUAAGAUCCGAUCCCCUGCAAAAUGUUUAGCUGAUCUAAUUAAAUUAGAUCUUACAUGAGUUUAAACUAAUACAAUUUCUGUGUAUCUGGAGAAAACUUCAUGGAAGGUGAGUUUGAAGAAGGUGAUCUAGUUACUUCCUGUAAGAUGCUGCCCAAGAGGCAUAUCAGAGAGUUUAGGCAUAUCCAUCCUUGAUGUCCAUCCUUGAUGCCCGUGUCUUAAGAAGUUGUUUUAAGUUAGUGCCUUGAUAAUUUUGGUUCAAGGUGUGCCAAAGGUUUGAUGCAUCACUGUGCACAAAAUUAAUGCUGAAAGAAAGGUGUCUCUUAGAGUAUUCAUCAAAUUGUCCUGAAAUAUGGUCUGGUCCUUUUCUUAUUGGUCUAUAUGUAGGCUACAAGUGGAUCCUGCUUCUAAGGGCUGUGAAUCCAUAAGAAUUUUCUAGGGGCCUUCUGCCUUUUCAUGUAGGUAAAAAUCUGCCUCCAGCAUGAAACUGGAGUUUUCCAGUACACCAAGAGAGCUUUGAAGCAACAGACUUUCAGGUUUGGACAUUUCUGCAACAUCAAAAGGCUUUAUGACAUCCAAGCCCUUGCUUUGUAGGGGAGAUGAUCAGCACAUCACUGAAACUGCUUCUCAUGGCUACAGGGUGUAUAGAGCUAUACAGGUGUCUGAGGCUGGAAAUCUUUGGGCAAUAGAGAUAGGGAUAUGGGAGAGCAGAAGUAGGGCACUCAGGAGAAAAGUCUCCUCUAUAGCAAAGUCGUUAAGGAUUUCAAAGGGCUUUAAAAGGUGUAAGUGGAUUUUCAAAACAAUUCCAAGUUUGUUAUGUUCAGAACAAAAAAGGAAAAUAUUUGUGGAUUGCUUAAUGACUAGAAGUUGCUGGAAAAGGAUGUUGAAAUGUUACCUUUUGUCACAGCAGUCUCAAGCCUUUAUUCACUUGUAUUGGAAUGGAUUCUCCAUUCUGGUUGUGGAAACCAAUUCCACUUUUCUACCUCAGUUUUUAAAACUGGAGUUAUAAGGAAAAGGUAAAAUUUAGGCAGAAGCCAUGAUGGUAAAAAUAAAGGAGAUACAAGAUAACACACAUAGAGGCUAAAUGUUUUUCCAUAUUUUAAUUGGUAAAAGUGAAAAUGUAAAAAAAAGUUUUCCAAAGACUAUAUUAAUAUAGUUCCUUUUUGCACUUGGUUUUGUUGCCAGUUAUAAUAAAAAAAAUAUGAGAAAAAUUUUAGUGCUUAAUUGGUCAGUUCAAAGCCAAUAUAUGAGAUAAUACUGAAAAUGUAUUAAACUUCUUAAAUGAAAGUUAUGCUGCAAUUUAAGUGCCUUUUGCUACAGAGAAAAAUGGUCCUAUUAUAGUCUGGUUUUAUAUAGAUAAUGGAUGCAAUUCAUUUGAAGAGGCUUUGUAAUUUUGUUUUGGUCUAUGAAAUAGCAUUUCAUAUAUGCCUUUUGGCAUUUUUUUAUGCAAAUUACUUUUUCAUCAAAUGCAGUUUUUGUAGUACUAGCUCUGAUUUUCAAAAGAUUAGCAUUCAAAAUAAAUUGAUGCAUAAGUAUUGAAUUUGUGCAAUUAAAAUGUGCUCCAAGAAGAGAGAGGAAGUGGUUUGAGAGUCUGCUGAGAUGCUUAUUGUGUUUAUGACUGUUGCAAUGACAAUAGAUGCCAGUGUUGACCCUCUGUUACUAAUUUAAUUGCUCAUAGGGAUAUAAAUUUUCCCUUUGAAAGCAGUAAAGACAACGUUUUUAUAGAAUCAGUGGUGAACAUUGAGGCAUCCAUUGCAUUUUGUCCAUAAUGUAAAACAUUCUCUCAUAAAGAUAAUUAAAAAUUUGUUAAAUUACACAUGGUAGUGAUUGGGGUAAUUUGUUUUUUGUGAGCUGGGAUCAGAAGUGGACACUGGGCUUUUAUUUUCUGUACAGUCAGAGGAUGACUCUGAGGUCCCUGCUGGUUGGUGCUCAGGUUGUUUUGUGCAUAGCUGUUGCAAAAUGCAAGUAAUUAUUUUGUGACUCAUGUAUAACCUGUUAGUUAUUUAAAUAAGUAGAAUAUGAGUCUCAUGUGAGGUUUAAAUCAGGUCUGUUUCUUCUGCACGAGGCAAUCUCUGGGUUGUUCAAGAUAAUAAAGACAAUUUCUAGUGAAUAGCACUUAGAGACAUGUAUUUCUUCCGUCAAAUUAGAUAGGUAGUUUGUAUUUAUCAUCUCCUAUUGUGGACAGUUUUGAUCACAGUAUUAGGCAUUGCUCCUGUGAGGAAAUUUAUUAGGGUGCAUGAUUUUGCCUGUGCUAUGAAAUUGUUAGCACUUUGAAUAAAGGCAGAUCUUGACCUGCACUGAGCUCAUUGCAGGACUGUUGCUGUAGAGACUGCAUAAAAAAACCCCUGGAAAGUAUGAAAACAAAAAUCUGAUGAUUCCUUUGAGAAAAUUAUAUUUUGUCACUUUCUAAAUUAGUUACAUGUCUUAAGUUACUCUAAAGAUGCUUGGGCUGUACUCUUGCUCUGUAUGUGUUGAUAUGAUUACAAUUAAGUGGUAAUUAAAGGUAAUUUGAUCUCUGCUGAUGCAUAUACUUCUCUAUAAAAACAUAUAUGUAGACUGUUCUACUGACAAUGAUGGAAAUCCCUAGGGAUGUGAAAACUUGUUACACAGAAUUCCAAGCAAAAUUAAAGGCAAAAGUUGAGUUUCCUCUUUAUGAAGUUUUUUAUUUUGUUUUGUUUUGGUUUUUUUUUUUGCCAAGUAAAUACUGGAAAAUGAAUGGAAAUAGAUUGAGAUUGAUGGAAAAUAUGAUGACCAUGGCAUAAGAAGUACAUUUCUCUUGUUCUUCCCCCAAGGAAAAACUCUGUAGUAAUUGAAAUAGACAGAAUGAAUAUAAAUUCCUCAGCCCCGGUAUUCUGUCUAGCAAUGCUGUGGCCUGUGUCACUGCCAGGUCAAAAUUUAUUAAAUGAUAACAAAAUAAAGAAAGAUUAAGGCUGUUUAAUUUCAGAUGUAAUUACAGAAAUAUAUAUUUAUGUAUUUGUGCUAUAUACUGUGAUGUAGGAAUUACUGUAUGAAAUUUAUCAGUUUUCAUAGGCUUAAAGUAAAUAUCACAGUGGUCUUUUGGUUGAAAAGUACUGCUUUCUUUUUAAUUUUAACUACAACCCUGAAUAUUCUGUGUUCAUAAUUUAUUUCAGGAUAAGUAGAAGGAGGUGUUUUUUUUUUUUUCUUUUUUCUUUUUUUUUUUGCCUGAUCAGCCUGCAAAAGGUGGAUCUGGCACAGUCCUGUCUGUAGUUGUGGAUGGGAUAUAGGAAAGGCUGGGGUACAUCCAAAGGUGUGGGGAUGAUGGAUAGACCUUUGGAGAACCAGUGUCACAGCUGGCAGGGGUUGUAUGUCUGAACAACAAAAGACAGUGGGAAAUCAAACCUUGUCUUUUCUGGGGCUGGUGAAAAAAAUCAGUUAACUCCUAAGUUACUGAUGCAAACUUUCAGUUGUGACUUCAGUUUCAUACAGCUUUGUCUGGGGGCCCUGAGGUUUCUGGUGUUCUGUUUCUUCAGUUUUACGGAGUCAUAGUAUUUUUCUCUCCAGUUAAGUACAUUGACAGAAGACUGAAAAAAUGUAGUGAUAUAAUUUACAUUUCCAGCUGAAGUUUCAGAAUUCAGUAGAACAGCCCUCACGUCAGUGUUUCUUUAGUUUUAUUAGUGGAUGUUUACAAUGUCUGUUGUGCCUGUUAUCUGAGCCUAGAUUUAAAGCAGUUCCUGUUGCUCUUGUAGAGUUUUUCAAAACUUCAACAGCACAGUGCAGGAAAAGCAAUUACUUUGAGGUGCAUCUAUACCAAUUCAAACAUGAAGCCGUCAAAAUAUAAUUUUCAUUUACCUUUUUGAUAGUGUUUGUGUUGACCAUGUUUUUCUAGUCUUUUAGACUAUGAAUGAAAUGGAGCAUCUUUUGCAGAAUUGACCUUUCAGUUGAGUUUGGCAGCCUGCAGUGACUUAGUGUCAUUUUGGCAUCAGUUGGCAUUUCUGUGGAAAAUGUCAUUACCAAUGGCUCUGUUCCCUUAGAGACAGGCCUAGAGGGGAAUGUAAGCUUGCAUUAUAACUUAAAGAAAUUACAGUGAUCAAUACAGAGUUCUGGUAUCAGUGUGCAGUAGCGAAUACCGUAUAUGGUCCAGAUUUGUUUUCCUCAGAGAAAGCUUAAGGCAGGUUCCAUUAUGAAAGGGAAGGACUCACUUGCUUUUUGGGCACUGUGUGCUACUUAUGUAUAGCCAGUUCUGUGGAAUAUUAAUAAACUGCAUCUCCUGCUUGUGGGUGUUCCAGAAUGCCUGAUAUGAUUGUUUCUGAAAUUAAACAGUACUUUUGAGGCCUGGAGUUUACAGAUGUUAAUUCUAAUUUUUAACUUUUGUGACAUUUCUCUGUUUGAGUUGGGAAAAAAAAUGUAGUGUAAAAUUAGGAAGGAAGGAAUUGGAAUUGGUUUCAUAUGCCCCUGCUUAAAUGGAAAAACGUUUAAAAAAUGUCAGCAGAGUCAUGAGAGUUAUUCUGAUGUUAGUAUAUCAAGAGUAUCUUUUUUUUACCUUGUGUUUUUUUUUUCAAGGACACCACUGAAAUGCUGAAAAAGCAGUAAUCCCACAGUCAGGUUUGUUCCAUUGGGAUUUUUUUUUUUCCUUUUCUAUAGAAUUUACAAAAAUUUAGAAGUGUAAAAGUAGGGUAAGUGGGAAAAAAAUUUGUUUCAAAUUCAUAGCAGAGUAAGGAUAAAAAAGGGAUCUCAAAAUGGUAGGUAAUGGAAGACAUACAGGUGGACUUUGUGCUCUGGAAUAUUGUGAAUACAACUGUAUCUGAAUUUAAUAUUGUGUUGGUCAGAAAAGAUACAACUGGGGAUGCGGAUGUGCAGUCCCAUGCUCAAAGACUCAUAUUUUUGCUUGUCCCGUGGACUUUUCUGUGAUCUUAGACAACUCAUAAUCUUCCUAGAUAAGGGAAAAACCCUGUAUGAAACAGAAGGUGCCAUUCACAUCUAAGAGGAGUUUGCAUCCUGUGAAAAGGAGAACUAGAAAAAUGUAAAUGAAUUAUUACACUUCUGUGUUUAUUCUUAGAAGAAUCCGAAUUGUGCAAAACAAUAACAGAGCUGACGCUAGAAAAGUGGUGGAGUUCAGGACUUGAUAAAGAUUGACACCAGCUUAUACUUAGAAUAUAAGCUGUUUGGGGGAAGGAAGUUUUGGCAGCUCUUACAACCCAGCAUAGUGGAGACAUAAUCACAGAUCAGGACCACUCAUCAAUGCUCCAGUAAAAUCUGGAAGCAUGGUUUAGAAUUCAACCAGAUAUAUGAUAUCAGUUAAGAAUGUAAACAUCAUUAGAGAAACAGGAACGCCAAAGUAGGAAAUUUAACCAUAUAUAUCCACAGACACUGUGGUGGUCUGGUGACAUUCUUGAUUCAUAACUUUUACAGUUGAUUUUCUUUUAAUGGACAGAAAGAAAAGAAAGAGAGUAGUUAAUAGAAUAUUCAGAGAGGAAGUAGAGAAAGAGAGCUGGAGCAAGAAAUAGAAUAGCUCAUGGGUUAGAAUUAGUUUAAAUUUACUCUGGUCUAUUUCUGUUCUAAUGCUGUACUUGUGCAUUAUAAUAGGACGUACCCAGGAAGCACCAAAUGUGUCUAGAAAUACAAUACUAUUUUCUUGAUUUAAAUUGAGAACAAGCAUGUUGUCAAAAAGAGAAGGUAUCUUUUGGGGUUCUUUCUGUUUAUAAGUAUAGUGUGACAAAUGGAAUACCCCUAAAUCUCAGUGUUAGUCUUUCUUGUUCUACCAAGUGAUUAAAGGGUUUACUUUUAUUCUCUCCAAUAUUUCAUGUGAUUUACUAAAAGAUCUUGAAUGCAGUCACAGUACUUGCCAAGAUUUCAUUUCCAUUGGAAACAACAGUCAUCCUAAGUAACUUGUAUUACUGUUGGUUAUACUGGUUUGGAUAGGAAUGGACUUGAGUCAUCAUGUCUGUAACUCAGUGAGAACUGAAGACAAAUACUGACUUUAUUUAUUUAUUUGAAUGCAUGUAAAGUAAUAAAAUUUGUUUAGUGUGUUUGUUCAGAACAGUGAUGGGCAAGUUCACUUCCGAAAUCAACAGUACUAUUAACCUUGAAUAUUGUGUGCAGUUUUGGGCACCACAAUAUGAGAAAGACUUGAAGCUAUUAGAGUGUCCAAAGGAGGGCCAUGAGGAUGGUGAAGGGCAUUGAGGGGAAGCCGUGUGAGGAGUGGCUGAGGUCACUGGGUUUGUUCAGCCUGGAGAAGAGGAGACUGAAGGGAGACCUCAUGGCAAUCCACAACUUCCUCAUGAGGGGAAUAGGAGGGUCAGGCACUGAUUUCUCUGUGCUGACCAGUGACAGAACCCAAGGAAAUGGCCUGAGGUUGUGUUAGGGCAAUUAGGUUGGAUAUUAAGAAAAGGUUCUUCUCCCAGGGAGUGGUUGGGCUCUGGAACAGAUGCUCAGAGAAGUGGUCACAGCAACAGCCUGACAGAGUUCAAGAAGUGUUUGGACAGUGCUGUCAGGCACAUGAUGUGACUCUUGUGGCUGGUCCUGUGUAGGACCAGGAGUAUUUUGGUGAUCCUUUUGGGUCCCUUCCAACUCAGCAUAUUCUGUGAGUCUGUGAAUAAAGAUGAAAGCAGUGUAUCUCUUCAGUAGUGGUGGCUGUGUACCAUUUCCAUGUCAAAAAUAAUUGGUAGAUUAUUGGUAAUUUAUCAUCUUCAGUCUAGUUUUGCUACAGUUACCUGAUUCCAUUGCUGGUAACGCUCCCUUCUUUCUUUGUAUGGAGAGUUUCUCCAGCAAUUACGGUAACUUUUCAGCAGUACUUGCCAGGGAGUUCAAAGAUGAACUUGGAGGCACACAUUUUGCUGAUGAAGCUGUCUGUUGCAUUGUUUACCAAAUAUUUUCUAUUCCAAAUGUUUGAUUUUGUCACUGCUAUGUGAACUUAAAAUGUCCAUGCCAGUUGUCAUCCUGGAACAGUUCUUUCAAAGCAAAGGAAAACAUAUAUAUUACUUUGCUUAUGUUUUAAUAAAUUACUUUUUUUUUUAAUAACAUAAAUAUUUUUUCAGCUGCAUUUGAUAUUGUUGUUAAAAAAGAAAAGAAAUGAAAUAAGAGAGGAGAAGGGUUUAUAUGGUGAAUGUUUUUCUGUUGAUCCUUGUCUAAUUUGCUUUAGGAAUGUAGCAUGGCUAUAAUCUGCUAUUUAACAGGUACUCAGAAUUUCCUCCACAUUUUCUGCUGUAUAUUGAACUUCUGCAGAUUGGAUGAGCUGAAAGAUCUGAAACAGGAAUAGGGAAUUUCUCCCUUCUGUACCAUCAGUUCUUCAAAAGACUAUUGCCUGCAGGUGAUUCCUGUGUAAAGGAGACAGAAAACAAACUGUGGGAAACUGUAGAGGAUUGAAAAAAAGGUGAAAAAGAACACUGGUGUUAGGACUAGCUCUUUUUCAGUGAAAAUGGAGGAAAAGACAACCUGGACAAGGAGAUUGGGACUAUCACUUUGAAAAGAACCAUUAGUGUUUGGGAAAAGGUAUAACAUUAACUUUGGCAGGGGGCUUGCUUGAGCCUGGUAAGACUGAUGGACUGAGAUUGUGGCAAAGGACAUGAAAGUCUGUUCUUAGUCAGCUCAGGUGGCAGAGAUCUGUGUGAUGGGUUUAAAUGCUGCAGCCUGGGUGGAGGCCAUGUGAGUAUCAGUACAGGAAUUCCUGCUUUCUUAGAUUUUGGAAAAAUAAACUAGAAAAUUACAUACAAAAUAGUAGAGAAAAUGUUACUGUGAAUACACAGACAUAUGACAUACAUUUGUAAGGUUAGGUAGGAAAUGCCAAAUUUCAGUUUAUCUUGGCAUCCUCAGUAGAGACCAUAUGUGUAGUGAUAUAGUUCUUAAUCACAUUCAGAUGUUUUCAUGUAUAAUAUUUUAAUAUUUUUAAUAAGCUAGCUACUAGCUGUAUUGUCAGUGUCCAUCUCUUGUCUUUCCACCCCAUGGUUGUGUAUCCAAGACUGAUUUUUAGUUGUAAAUCUGAAACAUGAAGUUCAUUCCAGCUUCCAACAAAUUGUGGCUCAUCUUGGUCCAUGAAAAGUAUCUGCCAUAAACUUCGUGCUUGGGCCCAUAAUUGUUCCUCUGACUCCUUACUGGAAGACUGCUUUUUCUUAAUUCUUAUUAUUGAUUUUGACAUUUUAUAUGAACUGAUGUGAAAGUUGGCCUAGACCUUCUCAAAUUCUACACAAUGUGUAAAUUUUCUGGAGACGUGUAUUUUCUUUUUACAGUGCUUUUGUGAAGGGGUUUUUAUUUGGUUCUGAAAGUAGAGCUUUUAUCUGAGGAGUGACAAGCUGCGAUCUCCAGAUCAAACACUUCUGUUUUUUGUGUACUUACAAUAAUUUGCAGAUUUAAUUUGAAAAUGAACGUUCACUGCUUCCUAUCUUUCUUAGUAGUGUUGACGUAGAAAAGUAUGAGUUUAAUUGAGCUUCACAGAGUAUGUUUUUUGUAAAGUAGCCUGCUCUGGUCAUAGCCAUAUACAUUCAUUGUAGAAGUUGUCUUACUGUGUGCCAGCAUCUACUUGGUAGGGCUAAUCUGAAAAAGGCCAUUGACCAAAAAACAGUAGAAUUAAACUACCCUGGUUGGCUUUGCACUGGAGAAUAUUUGGUAUAUAAAGAAAUUGUGAACUCUCGCAUGCCCAGAGGGAGUGUGCUGCAGCAGAGUUGCAAGGUGCACAUGUGGCACCUAUGGAAGGAGGAUAGCAGCAGGAGAGCAAUGAGGAUGAUGCAGGAACCAACAUGAGGUUAGACUGUAGGAGCAGUGGAACAGUGUUUUGCAGUUUUCAGUGUGGUUGUAUUCAUCUUGGUAGUUGUGUCAGAGCUGACCAUUCUUCCCUUUCACCCUCUUCAUCUCCUUGCCAUAGAAGCCCCACACUAGUGCAGGCAGCAUGCUGCUGAUGUCCCUGUUGUGAUGUCUCAGGCCAGCUCUGAUUUGCAGUGUCCUGGGGUACACUGUGUUUUCUGUGUGGGUGGUCUUACCAAAACUGCCUCGGAAUGGUUGUGUGGAGCUGCAGUCAUGUCUGGGAAUGGGCUGGGACAGCAAGGCCAUCAGCUAUGGUCAGACUAAGCAGACCUGGGAAGUGAAGCGUGAAUCUUGAUGUUCAUUUGUUCCGGCCAGGGAAUUUAGGAUAAUUUGGUGUAUCCGGAGACUGGAGGCGGGAUGGGAGGGCAGAGGCAGAGCAAGCGGAACAGUCACUCUGACAUCUUGAACUGCUUUCAUACCACGUCCUGUGCAAAGCACACACUGUGGCAGCACUCCUCAGUAAAUGCAAUCUGGCUGUAGGAUUUAAGUAAAAAACAUUUUUAACUCCACCAUACAAGUACAAGAGCAUGUUAUUGAAAGUAUCCAACAGUGCCUUAUUUUCACAAAUGUGUUCAGCUUUAGAUUUUGGAAGAAGAAUGAGUGUUCUGUUCUGCCAGCUUUUUCUUCUGUUUGUUUCUUCCAUAAAUUUGAAAUGAUAGUGGGGACUUUGUGCAGCCAAGCACUGCUGGUGAAUAGAUGUUGGAAAAAAGAAUGAGAAGCCACAGUGGUAUGGAGGAAAUCAUGUGGCUACAGCUAUCUGUAGGAAAAAUAAACAUCCUUUUUCCCACUUCUCCACAAAAAUGGUUUUUGUAUCUGGAAAAAAUAUGGAGCUAAGGCAGAUAGAAUACUGAAAGGAAUUAACAUCUAUACACAAAAUACACUGCCUUAUGUGAGCACAACAUUUAACAAGCUAUUUCACCUGAGAGGAAAAGUCUGUCAUUGCUUUUGAAUUUGUAAAUUUAAAAAAAUCAGUGGAAAGAAAAAUAACAAUAUGGUCAAAAAUUAAAUUUAAGUUAAAUUUCUGCAAUAUUAUAUCUAAAAUUACGGACAAAAAUGUGUAUGGCUGAGCUGAGGACUGCCCCUUGUUAUGAAAUAUUUUGUUUUCUAGAUUUUUGUAUCUGUUCAUUCUUUCUUUUAAUGCAUUAUUUUGUUUGCCAUUCUCUAUCAUUAUUAUAUUAAAAAGUGUUUAUUUUGUAUUUUUUCAAAAUCAUAAGCCGAUGCAUGGAAGGCAUGAGAUUCAAGCUUACCAUUUGAAAGAUUUAUCCGAAGAUAAGGAUGUGCUUUAAGGAUUUUCUUUAAAAAUGUGCAUUGUUCUAGCUGUUGCCAGCCUCAAAUUCAGCAAUAACAAGAGUUUGUGUCUCCAAGUGGAGCAUUUUUUCCAAUAGCAUAGGAUUCUGAAUUAAUUUUUAAUGAGAGACUAAGCAGAAGUCAUUAAUAUUCACUCAGAACAAAAGAACUUUACUAAUGUCAAUUCUCACUCCAUUUUUCUCUUGAUUCCAAACACAGUCCAUCAUUCUGAACAGAUACUGUGCUGGACUGCCUAGCAAAAUGCAGAACAAAGUCUCUGUGGCUGGUGUGUUCUGAACAAAGCCUUCUUAUUUAUUUAAAAAUACAAAAUACUUUGUUUUUUAUUUAUUAAAUGAAAGAUCAGGACAUCUAGGUGUCCUGAAAUGAGGUGAUGAGAAACUAAGAAACCAUGUGGACAAUCACAGAGAUGUCUGAUUAAAAGCAAGAUAUGGACAGUCUUUGAUUUUUCCAAUGAGUGACAUAGAAGAGAUUUCUGCAUCCUUAUGAAUCUUAAAUAUUGGCAGACAAUAUUUGGCAUAAUUUGACUCAAACAUGAUACUUUUUCUUUCAUAAUGAGCACAGGUGUGAAAACCUUUUGUCAUCUUCUGUUUAGAUUUGAAUCAAGACAAAUAAUGCAUAUUUCAGUAUAUAGUAGCUUAUAGAGGAAAAUUGUUCCAUUCCCAAUUAUUUGUUCCCAUGGCUAGAGAAUAUAUGGAUAUAUUUUUUCCAUACCAAUGAGUAAAUUAACUUUUUUGGCAGAGUACAAUCUGCAACUCAGAGUGCAAUAAACUAAACUGUACUGUGGAUAGCACAUCUUGUAAAAGAAGGAAGCCUGGAUUUUAGUUCUAGACUGAAAUUUGCCUAAUGAUCUGAUAUUCUAUUUAUACCAGAUUGUUUUAAAACUCUGCUAAAUUUAGCCUGUUUUCCAAGUUCUUCCCAGCUCCAAGCAAACUAGUUUUUAACUCUAGAGUACCUAUAAUGAUUGCAUUGGCAAUCAAUACAUAUAAGCUUUUUCAUCUGUGAGUGAGUUGUGUUAGGGCUUGCAUGAAAUGGACAUGUUAAUAAAGAGAUACGUUUUUCAUAAAUAAGAUUAUUUUGUAAUGAAUUAUUGAAAGUAGUAAACUUCAAUUCAUCAUAGUCUGUAAAAGAAGUCAGGUGGUGUUAAACUGAGUGAAAAAUAUGUGCUAAACUGUAAUUUUAGGAAUAUCUGCAUUGUGCAAGUAAAUGUUCAUACUUUUGACUAAAAUACAGAUCUGGAAAAAGAGAAAGAAACUAGGCUGUUGUUCCUUCAAGAAUAAUAUUAAUGCAGAUGCCAAUUAUGCUGUUUUACAUUGCUUAAUGUUAAAUAGCUAUCUGGUGAGUGCUGAGACCCUGUGAUAUUUUCUACUAUUUAUGGAUUCUGCCAGUUUCCCACAUGAGAAUUGUGUAUGGCAGAGAAUUUCUCACAUAUUUGCUGUUAAAUGUAAUUCUGGUUUGGUAGAACUGGAUCCUUAGGGAUUAGUUGUGUUGUCCUUAUUGAUGGAAAGAUAAUGACUAUCUACACUGGAAGAAAACUGUUGUUUUUUAUAGAACAUAGAACAUACUUAUUUUUAAACACUCUUUUCUUUUGUGGCUAGAAUACAAGGAAUGACUAGUGAAUAAAAAUAUCAUUAAUCUGACUCUUCAGCAGAAUUAAUUAUAAUUUAAUGGACAGAAAAUCCAUGAGGAAUGUCCAUACUCCUACAUUGUUUGAAAAUAAUUUUAAACCAGAUGUAACAAUGGAAGUUCACUGCUUUUCCAAUGAAAGUAAAGUAGCAGAGACUGAUAGACUUUUAUGUAACAAAAGUGAUUAAGUUGGACAAGUUCACCUUGAUUUCUAGAUAUGAACAAAAUCUAUCUGCUUGCCUAACUUGUAUCUGUACAUCUAUUAAGUUAAGCUGGGAUAAAGAUAACAAUUUGCAGUUAAGAUGCAGAUAGAAGCAGGCCCUCAAAGAAAAAUCUAAUUGAAGUUUAUGAAGUUAAAUCCUAAUAUUUUGUUUGUCUCAAGAUGAGAGACUAUUUAUUCUCUGUUUUAAGAUUUUUAGCAAUUUAAUGUCUGGCAAUUUAUUGGCCUUUUUGAAAGUGAAUGACAACAAUAUAAAACUUUAAUUUCAAAAAGUAAAACUUGUAUUUUUAACAAAGUUAUCAAAGUUAAUGAGCAUUUAGCAUGCACUUUUUAGAUUUUAAUCUCAUCAUUAGACUUUAAAUGCUGCUAGUCUGAUAUCCUAUCUCUGUCUGCCUUGAUAUUAUGAUGAUAUUACCAAAUAAUGUUGAGAAAAGCUGCUGGGUCUGGCCCACCAGUCCAUCAUUUUAGAAGUCCUGAUAUGGAACUGAAGGGCAUUUUGCUGAAGCUGUGUACCCUGGUGUAGACAAGAACAGAGGGUUCAUGGGCCAGAGAAGAGUCUCCUGUGGUGAUCACACACUAAGGGCUGGCUGUCUCAGUUCUGUCUGCUGCUCCUAAGGCUGUUUGUGUGUUUAAUGAUGGUGAAACAAUGAGAUUAAACUCAUUAUUAGCUUUUCAACCAACAAAGACUAGCAUGACUUGUGCCCUGAUACUAAUUUUUUACCUCAGCUUGAUUUUUAGCUGUAGAAAUUUCUGACAUCUUAAAAAAUCCCUGUGGGUAGCAUUAGUCAAGUACUGUGCACUACUGGAUGUUAAUAUCCUAGGAUUUAAAUAUAAGCUUGCAGGAGCUGAGUCUGAUGUAUUUUGAAUGUCUACAUGGAGCAUAUUAUAGCUGCAUCUUCCUCUUGCAAAGAGAUGUUUAAAAUUGUUGGAAGUAAGUGAAAUGCGCCGUUACUUCUGGGGCUGCAGAGCAGCGUCCCUGGAUGUCAGGUUAGGCACUUACCGCCCCCGGGGCUUGCAGUUUUGUAUUACAGAUUAUCAUUAUUGCGUACACUUUUCUGAUGAGAUUGGGAAAUUUCUUUAGCUGUAGUGUAAAGAUGCCAAAAUACAUUUACUACAGACCUUAAGGCAAGUAUAAUUCUUCCAGAGGCAGCCUCAGGCUUUGGAGGUUUUUGUGCUGAAAGCAUGCUUAGGCUUCCCAUGAGAUCCUCAAAGAGAUAAAAAGACUAAAAGCUCUUCAAAGCUAGGCCUUAGGCCCUGACAUAAUUUAAUUCUCUGGUGAUGGUUUUUGUAUGUAAAAAAAUGAAUAAAUAUUUACAAAAAUUUAAAUAGAAAUGUACCUAACUAGCCAUGAAAAUAACUUUUUAAUAUCACCCAUUCUUUUGAAUUCAACAUAAAAACAUCUUCAUAUAACUUUAAUUUAGACAUCAGAUGACCAGGAAAGGACAUGGUAUUUUCUCUCUCUCUUUCUAUAUGCAAAAUUUCAGCAAGGUUAUCUUGUUUUUUUCAUGCUGAAUAGUUACUCCUGAUAACUGAACUGACAUUGAAAUUAAUUUGCAUAACAAGUAACUAUGAUGUUAUUCUAACUCUAUUCUGCACUUUAACCCAGUCACUUACUAAUUGUAAUUUAGUUUAAGGUCCUGAAUUAAAGAGCUGCUCUGUGUUCUGAUCUCCUCCCACUUUUCCCUUUCUUAUUUUUUAGGCUAUAUUAACACUAGAUUUUAUAUAACAAAUAGCAAGAUAUUCUAGAAAAUUCCCCCAAUCUUCAACACUGUGAGUACAGUAUUUUAAGUUAAGAGUUAAUUUAUGCUGGAAAUGACUUAAGAGAAAUAUCACUGAAAAAGAGCCAGGAAAAAUCCUGUUGAGAAUCUCUAUGGUAUCAGCAUUAAAACUGUAGGGUAGGAGUCAAGAAGUCUUGAUUGAUUGCAGGCUUCCCUUCUUACUGUGGAGAUGCUGCUUUGCUUCAUGGCUUCCUGUUCUCCACCUUGUAAAACAGAAUGAUGGAAUCAUCAUAUAUCUUCAGGUAUAUAGCAGGGAGCAGCCCACUCUGGUAGCUAUUUAUCCUCUUCACAAAAUUCCAGAUGUUCAGAGGAGACUUGAGAUAGUUUGUUCCCCAAAUCAAAUCUGCUGCACCUCUCAGACCUCUGUUCGUACCAUGAUUGUCAAUUGGCCAUGAAUCAGCAGCAUGAUCAGGAGCAGGUUUUUUGGUCAGGCUUACUUAUCCCUGGCUGUUCUUACUUAAGCCUGACUCCAGCCUAGUCUUCAAAUGCCUGAGGAUAAGGAGAGAACUUGGUCUACUCUGUGUCUGUAUAUUCAAUCAAAAGCUUUAUCCCUCUAUUUAUAAAAUUCUUUAAAUCUUAUCCACAGGAAACUGCAUGAGUUAAAAGUAUUUAUUGCUCUUUAAUAUUAUUAAUAGCAGCAAGUGAUCAAAUCUGGAUAAUUUGUAGUGUACAAAACAUUGCUAUAUAAUUUCUUUUGCUUUUCUCCUCUCAGGAGGUGCUUACUGUGGAGUUUCACAUAGUGCAGGCAUUAGCGUUCUUUGAUUUGAAGAAUUGUAGUUCAGUGUGCUUUUUUAAAGUGGUAACUUAGAUAUACUGUGUUAUGUGAAGAGCAUCUUAGGGUUAUAUUUUCAUUAUUUAUUUAUAGAAAUUAUUUUUUCCUAUAGUAAAAUAUGAGAACUGACAUUUUAAUAAAUAUUAUGAAUGUUCAUAAUAGAUUAAGAAGCAUGUUCACCUAGAAGUACCUGUGUUGAGAUAACUCCCAAGUUUAGAUUCCACUGUCACUGGAAUUAGUUGGUUCAAGAGUAACCAGGUCACAGGAGCGACUAAAAAGUUAACUGAGGCAAGAAAUUCCAGUUUUAUGUCCACUACUGGUUUCAAGAAAACCAUUCAGAUUAGAAGUAAGAUAAUGCUCUAAUGUGAAAGCAAAUUAAGUAACUGAUAAAAUGUAAUUGCUUUAUGUAAUUUUUUUUUUUUUGUGAAUACGGGAACAAAAUUAACACAAUUUAGAAAUAAGACAUUCUUCUCCUAAAAUCUUCAAUGUUUGUUUGGAAGGUGCUAGAUCAACUUUUAUUUGAUUCAAUACAAAAGAGAUUUUCCCAACAGUAAAAACUUUUUAAGCUGAAAUUUUGCAGCUAAACUAUAGACCAUGACUGAAGUAAAAGAUAAUUUUAAAAGACUAAAAAAUCAGGUAACAAAUAAUUUUAAUGUGGUUCAGAUAUUUAAUUAAAUCCUUUAAAAUUAUGAUCUGCAUUUCAUUGAAUAUAAAAAUACGUUACUAAAUGCAAGUUGACAUUUCUAAAUUAGGUACUUGCCACUUCAUCAGUGAUAUAAGCAGAAAAGUAUUUUUCAGGGAAUUAUGGAAGAUGUUUUUAUCAUCUUGUCACUGUUGUCAUGGAGACUUGUGUAUAUCAUUGUUAAACAGACUGUACAUAGGAUCUAACAUUCCUGUGACUUAAAAUUGCCAGCUAUUGUAUUUUUAGUGUAUUUUCUUCAACACUGUAGUCAAUGCAUAGGUACUUGUAAGUUGCUCUCUCAAUUGCAGCCAUGAAUACAAUUACAGGAUUAGGCUGUCCAGAGACCCCAUAGUACAGGGUUCUCUGUGAAAAGGUUCUUUUCAAUACAGGGUUAUUAACAGUUUUAUUUCCUAAUCCAUUGUAGCCUAUUAUAAGCACUUAAAAAUUAAUAUUCCCUCUAUUAAAGUAGACUAUUUUGACAGCAGUUUCUUUGGGAAGAAUGAGCUAUCCAUCAGUCAUUAUGAACUAUGUCUUGAAAACUUCGGAUCUUUUCUGAAUGUGGAUUUUAUGUGUUAUGUGCUUUGUUUUUGAAUACAGUGCUAAAUUCAUAGUAAACCUCUUGUGUGUCAUUGUCUUAACCUAUCAUGCAUGGAACACUAGACUGAAAGAAGCUUGACUGGAAAAUCCAAAUUUAAGUGCUCCUAGACACAAAGUAUGCGUAACUUGUUUUUCUCUUAAAAUCUUAUGAUGGGCACAAUUCACAAAGUAGGGAAAAAAAAGGAAUUUUUGUUUUUUUCCUUCCAAAUGAGGUUUAAGAAUUGGUAAUUUUAAGCACAAUAAAAGUGUUGUAUCUUUUGCAGAAGUAAAGGUUUAUUUUGUCUUCUAGUGUCUGGAGUUACUUCAAAAUAUAGCUUCUGCAUCAAUUAUUUAUGACUUGAAAUUACUUAUCUUUUAAAAAAGAUGAAGUUACUUAAAUACAUUUUUCAUCAUUGAACAAGUGACUUUCAUUACCUCAAAAGUAUUAAUUAAAUUUCUUUUCUCAUCCUGGCCUGUCUGGUUUCAUCUUUUGGGGAUUUCUCUGAACACUCUUCUGAAAUUUUAAGGCUAUUAUUUUAAAUAAAUGAAGAAUGUAAGUUUUGUGCUGGAGUAAGCUGUCUGUAGCAAUUUGAUGCAAAUUUAACUUAUCUGAGAAUCACAGUAACAUGAAGUAUUCAAGAAUAGUAAAGUUGUAAAGGUUUUUUAAAAGAUGUAUCUCACUUAUGAUGUUGGUAUUGUUCUGUUCAGAGAGUUACAGUCAGGACUACUAAAAUACAAGUACAGAAAUAUGAAGAAGAAAAAACUCAAAUACAAAUAACACCAUGGCUUUAGUAUCUAAAAAAAUGCUUUCAUUAAGUAAGUAAGGGUUAUAGGUUGAAAGUUAAAUUUCUAGGAAAUGUAUACUUUUUCUCUUCCUGCUCUGGGAGAUUCUGUCAGUUCAGGCAGUUGAAUUCAGUGAAAUGACACAAGAAAAUAUCCUGGCUAGUGAACAUGCCCGAUCGAUAUGACUAAGAACUAAGAAUCUGUAUAUAAAAUAAAUGCAUAUUUUCUAUUAUUUCAGAUUACAGUAAGCUGUAUAUGAAUGUAUAGUCCUAUGAGGAGAUAUACCUAGCUUUUUAGGAUUUAUUGAGGCAAAAUAGAACUCAUUUAUUACUGGCUUCAUACCUUUCACCUAAUCAUAAAUGAUUUUAGCUGGGAUUUGUAGAAAAAUAGAAUUUCCAGACUUCAUAUAUUCCUGUAUCUUUCUUUCAAAGGAUUUAAUUUUGGAUAAAAUGGAAGUUUUGUGAACAGAGAGCUUUGAUAUUUUAUCCAAAUUUUCUGCAUUAAGAGAAAAGCUGUAACUCCCUCUUCUGCUGAAUGCGAUUUUGCAUUUAUGGAUACCUCACACAGUAACCCAGUCAGCUGAUGAGUUUGUUUUUUAGCCAUCUUCUGUAGAACAGCCUUAUGAAAUCUGAGUCAUAAGUUGCAGAGCAGAGGGAAGAAAGUGGGAUGUGUAUUGCCCCCCCAGCAGUUACAGGGCACCAGCUGUGGGUGCAUUCAGCACAUGCCAGCGUUGGGGCUCCGCGUUCUGCGGGUAAUAGGAAAAAAUAUCCUGAUUAUUCAUUGUUGUAAUGGAGUUGGGAGUGCUGAAGAGCUCAUCUGCUAUGCCCCAGAGCUGUUAGCUCUGGUGGACUGCCACACCUAGGUGAACCCUUGAGUAAGGGGACGGGGCUUUGUGACAAGAAAGGGAAAUGCCGCAGCAGUCAGCUGGGGUGGAUGGAGCAGUUGCAGUGCAGUCAAAUGUGGCACCUCAGCUCUGAUCCAUCAGCUUGCAAAAGGAGCUGUAGGAGGGAUAGGUUUUCAGGCUUCUGGUUAAACUGAAAAUAUUGAGGGAGUGGAAACAUCAGAUUCCUUUAUUGUUGAGGGUUUAAUUUCUUGACAAAUGAAAAACUAGGAAAAUAUAGAUAGAACUGUGUAUCCAAUGUAGAAAAUAAUGUUUUGAGGCUUAAAAAAUAUUGUGUAAACAUAGUAAGCAAUUACAAAUACUGGUAGAAAAAUGAAGUGGAGGUUUUGGGGUAAUUUUAAUAGCUUAUUUUGUUUUAUUGUAAUGUAUUGUUCUUCAUCACAGGUAAGGCUAUAUCUGUAUGGCACAGUCCUGUGCCCUGAUACAUACUAUCCCUUCUGAAUGAGUUCACUUCUCAGGACAAUGAGUUGUGUGGGAGAGUUUAUUAACUCAGGUUACAUAACUACUGGUAUCUAGAUUAGAUUGGGUAUUAUUAUAUGAAACUAAUUGUGUACCAUACAGACAUCUGAAAUACUCUGACAUCAAAAUCCAGUUAGGCUAGACAAUGUCUGAGAGUGUCAGUUUACAAGUCUGUUUCUGUAUCUAUUAGACAUUGAAAAUUCAUUAGGAUUUCUGGAAUUCAGAAAUCAGAAUUCUAACAUCUCAUUUGUAUUUGUCCUUAGAAAUAUAAUUGCCACUCUCUGCUUUAUCAAAACAUUGAAUAAAAUAACUUUUAUUGAAUGAAAAUCCUAACUUAGAGCCAUGAGGUAUUUGCAGGUUCUGAAGUACUAAUGAUGAGUGCAGUGGUAAUGAUCUGACAGAUACAAACUCAUGGGUAAGUUUUUUUCUCUAAACAGAGUAAUCUCUUGAUUUUCUCUAGUUAAUGUGAAUUGGUAUUUCAUGUUCAGGGAGGCUAAAGCUGGCAGGCUGGGAUUCCUUGCAUUUUCCUGUUUGUGAUUGUGGUGCUGAUAGCCUAACUAUGAACUUCCUUAUGCAGGGCUGCUAGGAACUUCCAGUCUGAGUAUUUCUAGAAUUGAGAAGUGAUUGAGUCUCAGCACUUGAAAAUGGCUUGUGUGCUUUUUAAAAAGACACCACCAUCUGUGUUACGUUGAAUUAAUUGUAUCUAUUUUGGUGAUGUCUGCAUGUGUCCAGUAAGAGCAGAAAAUAACAUUUUAAUUUCAUGGAUGUCUGUGGGUUGAUUUUUAACUGACUGGAAACAUCAUACCUUUACCUCUUAUUUUGUUAGGUUUUCAGUCCAGAAUCGAAAGGACUAUAUUAAUAAUGUAUAUACAUCUCAGUAUAGUGCUGUGCAGAUUUCUAGCUGAAAUACCUUGGUCCUUAAUUUGCAGCUUAUGCUCAUAUACCCCAUGAGGAGCUCUGCUUUAAAUAAGUUUGACUUUGUAAGGUUUCUGGUAUCUUUGCCAGGACAAACUUGGGUUCUGCUGUUCUGUGAAGACUAAUCCUUUCAGCCCAGCAGUACAUAUAGAUAUUGAGUAUAUCAGAAGGCUUUUAGGGAUGAUGCCAAGAAGGUCCAGAGGUAUUGCUUGUUCAGGGACACAACUGAGAAUCAUUGCUGGGUUGUUAUGUGUAUGAGGGCCAAAAUGAGAUGAAGCCUUUUAACUUUGCAGGCCAAAAAUUCCCAAAUGUAUUUCUUGAAAGACUGAUAAAGGGACAGGGAGAUGGUGGGGCUCUGGCCAGAUGUGGACUCAACUAUGUGUGAUCAAAGUGGGAAAUCUACCCAGCUGUGCACCUUAACUAUUCACACUCUGGGCCAGCUCUUACUCAGGGGGAUUUGGGCUCACUUAUGUCCCAUGUUUCUUCCUCUUCUGCCUCCAUAGCGGAUACGUGUUUACAUCAAGUACUUGAGUGAUGCUCUGUGACAAGAAAUAGUACACUGACACAUGGAAUGAUGGCUCUAAGUGUUGGGACACCAAAAUGUCUCCUUUCAUAGCAUAAGCAAAGGUUGUGUAUUGCAGGUACAAUACUUCUGUAAACAGUAUAGGCUAAAUUUGAACUAAGUUGUGAAAUGUCCUUGUAGGUGUGUGGAAAUAGAAAUGUGGAGCUACACAGGAUUUUAUUACAAAAUCUGAAUUAGUUCAUGUUGGGUGCUUCUCUGAAGAAUCCAUUUGUACACAUUUUAAGGUAUCUGUAAAGCAAUAAGAAAUUCUAAUUUUGCCAUGCCCUGUGUGCAUAUAAGUAUGGUGGAUACACAGCUUAGCACUCCAUUACAGUGUUUUCUUAAAAUUCUGUACAAUUGGAUUUUGCUUAAUCUGUGUUGCUUCAUGCCAGAACAUAAGAUUAUGGAUCAUUACAUUAUAUAUAGUGGAAAAUGAUUAAGAAGGGUCAGUUCGAAGGUUUUGGUAAAAUUGCAGGUUUUGUAGGUGAAAAGUAAUCUUUACUACAACAUAGUUCGGAUGUAAAAGCUCAUCUUUUUAACUAGGUCUUUAUUCAGAUUAAAUUUAGUAUUUUUAUAGUAAUUUUAGAAAUAUUGGAAAUGCGCAUGCACAUUUGUAAUGCCAAACAUUCCUGCUGAUUCUAGAUAAUUUAUUGCUUCCUAUAGAAGUAGCUAAAGCUUCUUUCCCAUGCCUGGGCACUUGAACAAGGCCAGUUGGACGAGGCCCUGAGCAGUCUGAUCAAGUGGGUGGCACCUUGGCCCAUGGCAGAGGGGUUGGAACUGGAUUAUCUUUAAAGUCCCUUCUCUCCCAAGCUUUUCUAUGAUUCUUCUUGACUUGCAGGCUGCUAAUUAAGUCACAGUGCACUUCUAACCCAUGCAACUCUUAAAUGGUCCUAACAAAUUCUUCCCUGGGUUAUAUCUGGAUAUAUUAAAUUUGCAGGAUUGCUUUAUUGAACAGUGAAUGUUUUCUGAUAGUAUUCAGUGUUUUGAGGAGAGUGAAAAAAGUGGGAUAGGUUUCUGUGUCAUAGAGUACCUUGCUGCAUCUCUUAUGUGAGUAACUUGUAUGGUCAGUUGUGAUUUUUUUCCCUUAUUCCUUUGUGCAUAAUAUAUUUUUCUUUAAGUGGAGUUAUAGUAGCUGUCUAUUGCUUGUAUUAUGGAAUUACAUGGGGCACAGGGUAUUUGAAUGCUUGAUUCUGCCUGACCCUGAUCAU